CUACGGGGUGCUGCAGUGGGGAAUAUUGGACAAUGGGGGAAACCCUGAUCCAGCAAUGCCGCGUGUGUGAAGAAGGCCUGCGGGUUGUAAAGCACUUUCGGUUGGGAGGACUGCUUCUAGCACUAAUAUUGUUGGAAGUUGACGUUACCUUCAGAAGAAGCACCGGCUGACUCCGUGCCAGCAGCCGCGGUAAUACGGAGGGUGCAAGCGUUAAUCGGAACUACUGGGCGUAAAGCGCGCGUAGGCGGCUAGCUCAGUCGGGUGUGAAAGCCCCGGGCUUAACCUGGGAACUGCAUCCGAUACUGGCUAGCUUGAGUACAGGAGAGGAGAGUGGAAUUCCACAUGUAGCGGUGAAAUGCGUAGAUAUGUGGAGGAACACCAAUGGCGAAGGCAGCUCUCUGGCCUGAUACUGACGCUGAGGUGCGAAAGCGUGGGAGCAAACAGGAUUAGAUACCCCAGUAGUC
rnacentral:rRNA from 1 species